CUUAGGAUGGAUCUGCGGUCGUUUAGGUUGUUGUUGGGGUAACGGCCCAACAAGCCUGUAAUCGAUACGGGUUGUGGGAGCAAGAGCCCGGAGAUGGAAUCUGAGACACGAUUCCAGGCCCUACGGGGCGCAGCAGGCGCGAAAACUUUACAAUGCAGGAAACUGUGAUAAGGGAACCCCGAGUGCCCGUAUACGCGGGCUGUCCAGGUGUUUAAAACGCAUCUGAAGAAAGGGCCGGGCAAGACCGGUGCCAGCCGCCGC
rnacentral:rRNA from 1 species